UGGUUACCCUUGGCUAGGAGAACGCUGGCGGCGUGCCUAAUACAUGCAAGUCGAGCGGAUGGUUGGGAGCUUGCUCCCAACCAUUAGCGGCGGACGGGUGAGUAACACGUGGGCAACCUACCUUACAGAUGGGGAUAACUCCGGGAAACCGGGGCUAAUACCGAAUAAUCCAUCACUUCGCAUGAAGAGAUGUUGAAAGACGGCUUCUCCUUGCCACUGAAAAAUGGGCCCCCGGCCCAUUAUUUAUUUGGGGGGGAAACGGCCUACCAAAACCCCAAUGCGUACCCAACCUGAAAGGGUGAUCGGCCCCCCUGGAACUGAAACACGGCCCAAACUCCUACGGAAGGCAGCAUAAGGGAAUCUUCCACAAUGGACAAAAGUCUGAUGGACCACCCCCCCGUGAGUGAAAAAGGUUUUCGGAUCGAAAAGUUCUGUUGUAAGGAAAAAACAAUUCCAGGAGUAACUGUCUGUACCUUGACGGAACCUUACCAAAAAGCCACGGUUAACUACGGGCCACCAGCCGCGGAAAUACUAAGGUGGCAAGCGUUGUCCGGAAUUAUUGGGCGUAAAGCGCGCGCAGGCGGUCCUUUAAGUCUGAUGUGAAAGCCCACGGUUCACCGGGGAAGGGUCUUUGGAAAUUGAAGGACUUGAGUACAAAGAAGGAAAGCGAAAUUCCACGUGUAGCGGUGAAAUGCUUAAAAAUGUGAAGGACCACCAUUGGCGAGGGUGGCUUUCUGUCUGUAACUGACGCUGAGGCGCGAAGCGUGGGGAGCAAACAGGAUUAGAUACCCUUGGUAGUCCACGCCGUAAACGAUGAGUGCUAAGGGUUAGGGGGUUUCCGCCCCUUAGUGCUGCAGCUAACGCAUUAAGCACUCCGCCUGGGGAGUACGGUCGCAAGACUGAAACUCAAAGGAAUUGACGGGGACCCGCACAAGCGGUGGAGCAUGUGGUUUAAUUCGAAGCAACGCGAAGAACCUUACCAGGUCUUGACAUCCCACUGACCGGCAUGGAGACAUGUCUUUCCCUUCGGGGACAGUGGUGACAGGUGGUGCAUGGUUGUCGUCAGCUCGUGUCGUGAGAUGUUGGGUUAAGUCCCGCAACGAGCGCAACCCUUGAUCUUAGUUGCCAUCAUUUAGUUGGGCACUCUAAGGUGACUGCCGGUGACAAACCGGAGGAAGGUGGGGAUGACGUCAAAUCAUCAUGCCCCUUAUGACCUGGGCUACACACGUGCUACAAUGGACGGUACAGAGGGCUGCAAACCCGCGAGGGGGAGCCAAUCCCACAAAACCGUUCCCAGUUCGGAUUGCAGGCUGCAACUCGCCUGCAUGAAGCCGGAAUCGCUAGUAAUCGUGGAUCAGCAUGCCACGGUGAAUACGUUCCCGGGUCUUGUACACACCGCCCGUCACACCACGAGAGUUUGUAACACCCGAAGUCGGUGGGGUAACCCUUACGGGAGCCAGCCGCCGAAGGUGAACAAGGAGGA
rnacentral:rRNA from 1 species